rnacentral:misc_RNA from 1 species
GGAAGGAUCAUUAAAUGUUAUAGCAACCCUCUGGCUGAAAAUGCCAGGGGGCACAACUAUACCACCCUUUGUUUAUUACACUUUUGUUGCUUUGGUAGGCCAGUCCUCGGACUGCUGGCUUCGGCCGGACAGCGCCUACCAGAGGACCUAAACUCUGUUUGUCUAUAAUGUCUGAGUACUAUAUAAUAGUUAAAACUUUCAACAACGGAUCUCUUGGUUCUGGCAUCGAUGAAGAACGCAGCGAAAUGCGAUAAGUAAUGUGAAUUGCAGAAUUCAGUGAAUCAUCGAAUCUUUGAACGCACAUUGCACCCCCUGGUAUUCCGGGGGGUAUGCCUGUUCGAGCGUCAUUAACAACCCUCAAGCUCUGCUUGGUAUUGGGCCCCGCCGACCCGGCGAGCCCUAAAAUCAGUGGCGGUGCCAUCUGGUUCCGAGCGUAGUAAUUCUUCUCGCUUUGGAGGCCGGGUGUGUGCUUGCCAGCAACCCCCAAUUUUUUUAAGUUUGACCUCGGAUCAGGUAGGGAUACCCGCUGAACUUAAGCAUAUCAUUAAGCGGAGGAAAAGAAACCAACAGGGAUUACCUCAGUAACGGCGAGUGAAGCGGUAACAGCUCAAAUUUGAAAUCUGGCCUCACGGUCCGAGUUGUAAUUUGUAGAGGAUGCUUCGAGCAUGGUCUGGCCUAAGUUCCUUGGAACAGGACGUCAUAGAGGGUGAGAAUCCCGUAUGCGGUCAGGUGCCUACGCUCAUGUGAAGCUCCUUCGACGAGUCGAGUUGUUUGGGAAUGCAGCUCAAAAUGGGUGGUAAAUUUCAUCUAAAGCUAAAUAUUGGCCAGAGACCGAUAGCGCACAAGUAGAGUGAUCGAAAGAUGAAAAGCACUUUGGAAAGAGAGUUAAACAGUACGUGAAAUUGUUGAAAGGGAAGCGCUUGCAACCAGACUUGCGCGCAGCUGAUCAUCUGGUGUUCUCACCGGUGCACUCGGUUGCGCUCAGGCCAGCAUCGGUUUUGGCGGCUGGAUAAAGGCCCCAGGAAUGUGGCUCCUCUCGGGGAGUGUUAUAGCCUGGGGUGCAAUGCAGCCUGCUGGGACCGAGGACCGCGCUUCGGCUAGGAUGCUGGCGUAAUGGUUGUAAGCGGCCCGUCUUGAAACACGGACCAAGGAGUCUAACAUCUAUGCGAGUGUUUGGGUGUCAAACCCAUACGCGUAAUGAAAGUGAACGGAGGUGAGAACCCUUAAGGGUGCAUCAUCGACCGGUCCUGAAGUUUACGGACGGAUCUGAGUAAGAGCAUAGCUGUUGGGACCCGAAAGAUGGUGAACUAUGCCUGAAUAGGGUGAAGCCAGAGGAAACUCUGGUGGAGGCUCGCAGCGGUUCUGACGUGCAAAUCGAUCGUCAAAUUUGGGCAUAGGGGCGAAAGACUAAUCGAACCAUCUAGUAGCUGGUUCCUGC